rnacentral:tRNA from 1 species
GUACCUUUCGUACAGUGGUUAGGACAUCGUCUUUUCAUGUUGAAGACACGGGUUCGAUUCUCGUAAGGGAUA